rnacentral:rRNA from 1 species
UACGAAGGGGGCUAGCGUUGCUCGGAAUCACUGGGCGUAAAGCGCACGUAGGCGGCUUACUAAGUCAGGGGUGAAAUCCUGGAGCUCAACUCCAGAACUGCCUUUGAUACUGAGGAUCUUGAGUUCGGGAGAGGUGAGUGGAACUGCGAGUGUAGAGGUGAAAUUCGUAGAUAUUCGCAAGAACACCAGUGGCGAAGGCGGCUCACUGGCCCGAUACUGACGCUGAGGCACGAAAGCGUGGGGAGCAAACAGGG